rnacentral:rRNA from 1 species
UACGGGGGGGGUAAGCGUUGUUCGGAAUUACUGGGCGUAAAGGGCUCGUAGGCGGCCAACUAAGUCAUACGUGAAAUCCCUCAGCUUAACUGGGGAACUGCGUGUGAUACUGGAUGGCUUGGAUUUGGGAGAGGGAUGCGGAAUUCCAGGUGUAGCGGUGAAAUGCGUAGAUAUCUGGAGGAACACCGGUGGCGAAGGCGGCAUCCUGGACCAAUAUUGACGCUGAGGAGCGCAAGCCAGGGGAGCAAACGGG